AGAGGAUGCAAGCGUUAUCCGGAAUUAUUGGGCGUAAAGUGUCUGUAGGUGGCUUUUCAAGUCCGUCGUCAAAUCCCAGGGCUCAACCCUGGACAGGCGGUGGAAACUAUCAAGCUAGAGUACGGUAGAGGCAGAGGGAAUUUCCGGUGGAGCGGUGAAAUGCGUUGAGAUCGGGAGGAACACCAAGGGCGAAAGCACUCUGCUGGGCCGUUACUGACACUCAGAGACGAAAGCUAGGGGAGCAAAUGGGGAUUAGAUACCCCAGUAGUCCUAGCCGUAAACGAUGGAUACUAGGUGCUGUGCGUAUCGACCCCGUAUAGUACUGCAGCUAACGCGUUAAGUAUCCCCGCCUGGGAAGUACGUUCGCAAGAAUG
rnacentral:rRNA from 1 species